AUACGGAGGGAGCAAGCGUUAUUCGGAAUCACUGGGCGUAAAGGACGCGUAGGCGGGUUUGUAAGUCAGGUGCGAAAUCCUACAGCUCAACUGUAGAACUGCACUUGAAACUACAGACCUAGAGUAUGGAAGGGGCAGAUGGAAUUAGUGGUGUAGGGGUAAAAUCCGUAGAUAUCACUAGGAAUACCGAAAGCGAAGGCGAUCUGCUGGGACAUUACUGACGCUGAGGCGUGAAAGCGUGGGGAGCAAACAGGAUUAGAAACCCCGGUAGUCC
rnacentral:rRNA from 1 species